rnacentral:tRNA from 1 species
GGAAGUAUAGCUCAGUGGUACAGUACCUGCCUAGCAUGCACGAGGUCCUGGGUUCAAUCCCCAAUACCUCCA